rnacentral:rRNA from 1 species
UACGUAGGGGGCAAGCGUUGUCCGGAAUCAUUGGGCGUAAAGCGCGCGUAGGCGGCCCGGUAAGUCCGUUGUGAAAGUCAAAGGCUCAACCUUUGAACGCCGAUGGAUACUGCCGGGCUAGAGUCCGGAAGAGGCGAGUGGAAUUCCCGGUGUAGCGGUGAAAUGCGUAGAUAUCAGGAGGAACACCGGUGGCGAAGGCGGGUCUCUGGGCCGAUACUGACGCUGAGGAGCGAAAGCGUGGGGAGCGAACAGG